rnacentral:rRNA from 1 species
GGACCUCAGAUCAGGCAAGAUUACCCGCUGAGUUAAGCAUAUCAUCA